GCUGGCUCCUAAAGAGAAGUAAGUAAAAGUUCAUCAGAUGAAGAAUAGAAGGUGUUUUCUAGGUGGAUGGAGGAAGAGAUAUUUACAAAGCCAGGAGGUGUGAGGGAACCUCACAUUCAGGGGAAAUGCAAGAAUAUAUGGAGGACAAGAAGAUGGAAAGAGAGGGCAGUCAGAAAAAUCAGCAAGACAGAGAAAUAACCAAGAGAAAUGAGCAAAGCCCGACUGUUGUUCCUACUUUGGCCAUUGGAGCUCUUUCCAGUUAGCUUCUCUUCCUUGGACAGCUUCCAUACGUUUUUGAGCACUUCCUUAUUUCUGACACCAGAAGAUGACUCAGGCUUGACUUGUAUUCUCCCCGUCCAACAAUGGAAUCUGCCAUUUCUCCAAGGAGCCCUGAUUCCUUUUAUUUGAGCGUGGUACAUAGAAGCUGA
rnacentral:lncRNA from 1 species